rnacentral:misc_RNA from 1 species
CAACCCUCGACUUCCCCUUGGGGAAAUCGGCCGUUGGAGACGGCGAGCCCUGGUGCUCGCCCCUCCCAAAUUCAGUGGCGGCCCGUCCGCGGCGACCUCUGCGUAGUACUUACACCUCGCACCGGAACCCCGACGCGGCCACGCCGUAAAACAACCCACUUCUGAA